rnacentral:rRNA from 1 species
AACGAACGCUGGCGGCAUGCUUAACACAUGCAAGUCGAACGGACGCUUUCGGGCGUUAGUGGCGCACGGGUGAGUAGCGCGUGGGAACCUGCCUUUUGGUUCGGAACAACCACGGGAAACUGUGGCUAAUACCGGAUAAGUCGGAGUGCUUUGGAGGCAUUCUGGGAAAGAUUUAUCGCCGAAAGAGGGCCCGCGUCCGAUUAGGUAGUUGGUGGGGUAAGUGGCCUACCAAGCCUAUGAUCGGUAGCUGGUCUGAGAGGAUGAUCAGCCACACUGGGACUGAGACACGGCCCA